UUGGUGAACCAGCGGAGGGAUCAUUACUGAGUUUACGCUCUAUAACCCUUUGUGAACAUACCUACAACUGUUGCUUCGGCGGGUAGGGUCUCCGCGACCCUCCCGGCCUCCCGCCCCCGGGCGGGUCGGCGCCCGCCGGAGGAUAACCAAACUCUGAUUUAACGACGUUUCUUCUGAGUGGUACAAGCAAAUAAUCAAAACUUUUAACAACGGAUCUCUUGGUUCUGGCAUCGAUGAAGAACGCAGCGAAAUGCGAUAAGUAAUGUGAAUUGCAGAAUUCAGUGAAUCAUCGAAUCUUUGAACGCACAUUGCGCCCGCCAGCAUUCUGGCGGGCAUGCCUGUUCGAGCGUCAUUUCAACCCUCAAGCUCUGCUUGGUGUUGGGGCCCUACAGCUGAUGUAGGCCCUCAAAGGUAGUGGCGGACCCUCCCGGAGCCUCCUUUGCGUAGUAACUUUACGUCUCGCACUGGGAUCCGGAGGGACUCUUGCCGUAAAACCCCCCAAUUUUCCAAAGGUUGACCUCGGAUCU
rnacentral:misc_RNA from 1 species